rnacentral:rRNA from 1 species
CAUGGAGGGUGAGAAUCCCGUCCGGCUGACCUUCAGGACGUUUUACGAUACGCUCUCAAAGAGUCGAGUUGUUUGGGAUUGCAGCUCAAAAUGGGAGGUAAAUUUCUCCUAAGGCUAAAUACCGGCGAGAGACCGAUAGCGAACAAGUACCGUGAGGGAAAGAUGAAAAGAAUUUUGAAAAGAAAGUCAAACAGUACGUGAAAUUGUUGAAAGGGAAACGAUUGAAGCCAGUCGUACCGACGGGAAUUCAACUUCUCGAGUGCUAAUCGUGGGUGACGUUGAGCCUCACGGCCUUCGUUGCUUGUGUUUUUGGUGCUUUUGGGGUGUACUUUUCCGUAUUGGUAGGUCAGCAUCGAUUUCGAUCGUCAUAAAAUGAUCGGGGGAAUGUAGCUUCGGUCUCGUAUCGGAGUGUUAUAGACCUUGGUAGAUGUGACGAUUGGGAUCGAGGAUUGCAACGAAUACCCUUUGGGCUAUCCGUCUGUCCUCUGAAAGUCGCUCGGGUGUCGAAAGCGUGCUUAUGGCUAUUCGAGUUGGCGGUCAACAGGUUAGAACGUGAUUAUAUUCGUUAAGGAUGUUGACGUAAUGG